AUUUAACGCUGGCGGCAGGCCUAACACAUGCAAGUCGAACGGUAACAGGAAACAGCUUGCUGUUUCGCUGACGAGUGGCGGACGGGUGAGUAAUGUCUGGGAAACUGCCUGAUGGAGGGGGAUAACUACUGGAAACGGUAGCUAAUACCGCAUAACGUCGCAAGACCAAAGAGGGGGACCUUCGGGCCUCUUGCCAUCGGAUGUGCCCAGAUGGGAUUAGCUAGUAGGUGGGGUAACGGCUCACCUAGGCGACGAUCCCUAGCUGGUCUGAGAGGAUGACCAGCCACACUGGAACUGAGACACGGUCCAGACUCCUACGGGAGGCAGCAGUGGGGAAUAUUGCACAAUGGGCGCAAGCCUGAUGCAGCCAUGCCGCGUGUAUGAAGAAGGCCUUCGGGUUGUAAAGUACUUUCAGCGGGGAUGAAGGGAGUAAAGUUAAUACCUUUGCUCAUUGACGUUACCCGCAGAAGAAGCACCGGCUAACUCCGUG
rnacentral:rRNA from 1 species